GAUGAACGCUGGCGGCGUGCCUAAUACAUGCAAGUCGAGCGAACGGACGAGAAGCUUGCUUCUCUGAUGUUAGCGGCGGACGGGUGAGUAACACGUGGAUAGCCUACCUAUAAGACUGGGAUAACUUCGGGAAACCGGAGCUAAUACCGGAUAAUAUUUUGAACCGCAUGGUUCAAAAGUGAAAGACGGUCUUGCUGUCACUUAUAGAUGGAUCCGCGCUGCAUUAGCUAGUUGGUAAGGUAACGGCUUACCAAGGCAACGAUGUAUAGCCGACCUGAGAGGGUGAUCGGCCACACUGGAACUGAGACACGGUCCAGACUCCUACGGGAGGCAGCAGUAGGGAAUCUUCCGCAAUGGGCGAAAGCCUGACGGAGCAACGCCGCGUGAGUGAUGAAGGUCUUCGGAUCGUAAAACUCUGUUAUUAGGGAAGAACAUAUGUGUAAGUAACUGUGCACAUCUUGACGGUACCUAAUCAGAAAGCCACGGCUAACUACGUG
rnacentral:rRNA from 1 species